AAGGGUGUAGCUCAGUGGUAGAGCGCGUGCUUAGCAUGCACGAGGUCCUGGAUUCAGCCCCAAUCCUAGUACCUCCA
rnacentral:tRNA from 1 species